CGCAAAGCGAGGAUAUUGUCCAAAUCCGAAACCAAAUUUUGGAUAUUAUGACAAAUCUUGCCCCGACCAAUCGUGUGAUAUCCAUUUUUCCUACGCAACCAGUAGAUGCCAUGGCAAAGUGGAGCUUUCUAAAGUGUUCUCCUAUAAGGCAAAAGAAUGCGAAUAUUAUCCUGGAAAAUCGUGCCAUCAGCUAAACGGUAGAUAUAAACGACGCACUGGAAGUUAUGUUGGAUCGAGUUCAUUCCCCCAUGGAUCGAAUUCAGGUAGCUAUGGAUCGGAUUCAUUCCCACAUGGAUCGAAUUCAUUCCCCCAUGGCUCGAAUUCAGGUAGCUAUGGAUCGGAUUCAUUCCCACAUGGAUCGAAUUCAGGUAGCUAUGUACCAUCAUCAGUUCCACAUGGAUCGACUCCAGGUGGCUAUCGACCGGGCUAUCCAAAACCUAUCUUCAGCAAAUGCUAUUGUUACACGAGCAAGUGCCUACAUAAGUUUGUAGCAUGCUAUAAAUACAAAGACUUCUACUACCAGGACACCGUAAAAGUACAGGUGCCUUGCGGAUGUUCCUGCUACAAAGGAUCCAAGUCAUGGAGAUAGAUUCCAUAUCUCCCGAUUCAAUACUAUGAAACUGGAAAAUAUAUUGGCUGAUUAGAAAUUUGAUAAAAACCAAUUAUGUAUUUUUUCAUGGAACUUCAGUGGUUUCAUCAUUUAUACCUAAUUCACGCAUAUUAUUAAAAUGAAAAAAUUUGAUUUCGGAUAUUUGAAGAUAUUUGUUCAUUGCUUCUGCUUGCUAUACUGUAUUUUGAAUGGAUAAUAAUAAUUAUGACUUAUUCAAUAUAAAACGUCUUCUGGA